rnacentral:rRNA from 1 species
GGGAGGCAGCAGUGGGGAAUAUUGGACAAUGGGCGCAAGCCUGAUCCAGCCAUGCCGCGUGAGUGAAGAAGGCCUUCGGGUUGUAAAGCUCUUUUAUCAGGAAAGAAAUCGUGCCGGUUAAUACCCGGCGGGGAUGACGGUACCUGAGGAAUAAGCACCGGCUAACUUCGUGCCAGCAGCCGCGGUAAUACGAAGGGUGCAAGCGUUAAUCGGAAUUACUGGGCGUAAAGGGUGCGUAGGCGGCCUGUUAAGUCAGAUGUGAAAGCCCUGGGCUCAACCUGGGAAUGGCAUUUGAGACUGGGAGGCUGGAGUGCGGUAGAGGGUGGUGGAAUUCCCGGUGUAGCGGUGAAAUGCGUAGAGAUCGGGAGGAACAUCGAUGGCGAAGGCAGCCACCUGGACCAGCACUGACGCUGAGGCACGAAAGCGUGGGGAGCAAACAGGAUUAGAUACCCUGGUAGUCCACGCCCUAAACGAUGCGAACUGGAUGUUGGGCUCACUUAGGCAUUCAGUAUCGAAGCUAACGCGUAA